UUAUCAGGUCAGGUUCAGGUCGACCUGAAUACCUGAUGAAAAUAAUUAAACAAAAAUUUUUACUAAAGGAUGACCACAGUCCAACACAUUACCAGGCAAAACAUUUAAAUGUUGUGAAUAAAAGUACAUAAUCCACUUUAAUAAUACACCACAAUGUUCACAGACAGUGCGAGAGGGAACAAAAAAAGAUUGUAUAGAGAGAAAUUUAAUGACGUAAGUAAAGCAUUCUUCAUUCAUAAAACCAAACUCCCUCGUCAACGCAGUUUAACACACCAAACAGAUUACAACAAGCCCGUCACAGAACUCCAGUUUCUCCAAAAUUUUGGGAGACAUUUGCUAUAUGAAAAGUUGAGAACCUCAUGAUUCGGCAUAAGCGGCUCGUCUACAGCAAAACCAUUUUCCUGUAGUCUGUAGAGCAAUAAAUUUUCAACAUUACAUACUGCAUUUGAACUUAUAAUCUCAUAAUGUAUAAAAAUAUGUUUCCAAUCAAUUUUUCCCUAACUCAAAUUACAUACAUACAUGUAUUAGUGAUUUUCUGACACAUACAUACAGUUGAGAUUACAUUUAGUGUUCAUGUAUUAGUGAUUUUCUGACACAUACAUACAAUUGAGAUUAUAUUUAGUGUUUUUAUCAAAUGUUAAUAUAAUAAAGCAAAUGAAAAACAUCUAAACUCAAAAUUCUUUCCAAAUAACUGUUACCCUUCCAGAGCUAAAGAGAAACACUAAUAAUCUGAUAAGAAAAGAUUUCUUAUAUCAACUCCUAGCUUGACAAAACUCCUACCUUUUCUAAUUAGUAAUUAGAAUAAAUACAAAACAAAAUAAUUAACAAUUAUUGUGGAAACAUUGUGUAGAAUUGUCAUAUUAACAGCAAAAUUUGUAAACCAAACAUACAAAAAUUCAGAUCAAGAGAACUACUUUGCGACUAAUCAAAGGUGUAAGCAAACAAAACCCUAACAAUGUAUAAAUCACAAUUAAACAAAUUAAAAUUAGAAAUAAUAAAAAGAGAUCUGAAGAGACGUGUUACCUUGAAGGUUGUGAGCAGAGACAAGGAAUGAAGAGAAGAACUGGGUUCGUCCAAUUUUUUUGAAGAUGAUGAAUGGGUACUGAGUAAUUGAAGAUCGAAUCGAAUACUACCGCUUUUGGAAAAUAAUUCAUUGGAAAGCCGCUUGCCGCAGAGAAUGAAAUUAGGUUUUUAGUUCGUGGGAUUAGAAAAUAGAUAAAAUUUUUGGUGUUUAUAUAUAUUUUGGUCAGGUUUCGGGUCGACCUGACGGGUCUGAAAGGGAAACCUGAACCUGACCUGAUUUGUAAUCAGGUCAAUCGGGUCGACCUGAUCAGCCCAAAAUCCUCAUAUAUCCAAACCCAAACCUGACCCAAAU
rnacentral:lncRNA from 1 species